rnacentral:rRNA from 1 species
UACGGAGGGUCCAAGCGUUGUCCGGAAUUAUUGGGUUUAAAGGGUGCGUAGGCGGUCUUUUAAGUCAGAGGUGAAAUCCUACAGCUCAACUGUAGAACUGCCUUUGAAACUGAAAGACUUGAGUACACUAGAGGUAGGCGGAAUUUAUGGUGUAGCGGUGAAAUGCAUAGAUACCAUAAAGAACACCGAUAGCGAAGGCAGCUUACUGGAGUGUAACUGACGCUGAUGCACGAAAGUGUGGGUAGCGAACAGG